AUACUUACCUGGCAGGGGAGAUACCAUGAUCACGAAGGUGGUUUUCCCAGGGCGAGGCUUAUCCAUUGCACUCCGGAUGUGCUGACCCCUGCGAUUUCCCCAAAUGUGGGAAACUCGACUGCAUAAUUUGUGGUAGUGGGGGACUGCGUUCGCGCUUUCCCCAC
rnacentral:snRNA from 1 species